AAGAGACAGCAGUAGCCGCGGUAAUACAGAGGGUGCGAGCGUUAAUCGGAUUUACUGGGCGUAAAGCGUGCGUAGGCGGCUUCUUAAGUCGGAUGUGAAAUCCCUGAGCUUAACUUAGGAAUUGCAUUCGAUACUGGGAAGCUAGAGUAUGGGAGAGGAUGGUAGAAUUCCAGGUGUAGCGGUGAAAUGCGUAGAGAUCUGGAGGAAUACCGAUGGCGAAGGCAGCCAUCUGGCCUAAUACUGACGCUGAGGUACGAAAGCAUGGGGAGCAAACAGGAUUAGAGACCCCGGUAGUCCCUGUCUCUUAUAC
rnacentral:rRNA from 1 species